rnacentral:rRNA from 1 species
UACGUAGGGUGCGAGCGUUGUCCGGAAUUAUUGGGCGUAAAGGGCUCGUAGGCGGUCUGUUGCGUCGGGAGUGAAAACUCAGGGCUUAACCCUGAGCCUGCUUCCGAUACGGGCAGACUAGAGGUAUGGCAGGGGAGAACGAAUUCCUGGUGUAGCGGUGAAAUGCGCAGAUAUCAGGAGGAACACCGGUGGCGAAGGCGGUUCUCUGGGCAUUACCUGACGCUGAGGAGCGAAAGUGUGGGGAGCGAACAGG